rnacentral:rRNA from 1 species
AUUGAACGCUGGCGGCGUGCCUAACACAUGCAAGUCGAGCGAGCGGAACACGGGUGGGUAAGGUGUGGGGACUGCCCGGUAGACGGGGAGAACUACUGGAAACGGUAGCUAAUACCUCAUACUAUCUGAUAACCCAUAUGGGAUUAGCUAGUAGGUGAGGUAAUGGCUCACCUAGGCGACGAUCCCUAGCUGGUCUGAGAGGAUGAUCAGCCACCACGGGACUGAGAAACGGCCCGGACGCCGACGGAGGCAGCAGGUGGGAAUAGUGGAGAAUGGGCGCAAGCCUGAUGCAGACAUGCCGCGUGGAUGAAGAAGGCAUUAGGGUUUUAAAGUACUGUCAGAGGGGAGGCGUUACCAACAGAAGAAGCACCGGCUAACUCCGUUCCAGCAGCCGCGGUAAUAC